rnacentral:rRNA from 1 species
GACAGAGGCCUCAAGCGUUAGGCGGAAUCACUGGGCUUAAAGCGUGUGUAGGCGGAACGUUAAGUGCCUUGUGAAAUCCCACGGCUUAACUGUGGAACGGCUGGGCAUACUGGCGGUCUUGAGCCAUCUAGGGGCGACUGGAACAAACGGUGGAGCGGUGAAAUGCGUAGAUAUCGUUUGGAACGCCAAUGGUCGAAAACAGGUCGCUGGGGGAUGUGCUGACGCGAGACACGAAAGCCCAGGGUAGGCAAACGGGGA